AUUGAACGCUGGCGGCAGGCCUAACACAUGCAAGUCGAGCGGAUGAAGGGAGCUUGCUCCUGGAUUCAGCGGCGGACGGGUGAGUAAUGCCUAGGAAUCUGCCUGGUAGUGGGGGAUAACGUCCGGAAACGGGCGCUAAUACCGCAUACGUCCUGAGGGAGAAAGUGGGGGAUCUUCGGACCUCACGCUAUCAGAUGAGCCUAGGUCGGAUUAGCUAGUUGGUGGGGUAAAGGCCUACCAAGGCGACGAUCCGUAACUGGUCUGAGAGGAUGAUCAGUCACACUGGAACUGAGACACGGUCCUGACUCCUACGGGAGGCAGCAGUGGGGAAUAUUGGACAAUGGGCGAAAGCCUGAUCCAGCCAUGCCGCGUGUGUGAAGAAGGUCUUCGGAUUGUAAAGCACUUUAAGUGGGGAGGAAGGGCAGUAAGUUAAUACAUUGCUGUUUUGACGUUACCAACAGAAUAAGCACCGGCUAACUACGUG
rnacentral:rRNA from 1 species